GUCCACGCCGUAAACGAUGAGAGCUAGUUGUCAGUAAGCAUGCUUAUUGGUGACGCAGCUAACGCAUUAAGCUCUCCGCCUGGGGAGUACGGCCGCAAGGUUAAACUCAAAGAAAUUGACGGGGGCCCGCACAAGCGGUGGAGCAUGUGGUUUAAUUCGAAGCAACGCGCAGAACCUUACCCACGCUUGACAUGUCCGGUAUGAUUUCCAGAGAUGGAUUUCUUCAGUUCGGCUGGCCGGAACACAGGUGCUGCAUGGCUGUCGU
rnacentral:rRNA from 1 species